GGGAUCGGAUAGCUGGGAUUUGAAGGCCAGCAGCGCGGUGAGGUCGGUGUUUAGGGAGUUUACUGAAUCAAUAGCCAAAAAAUAUAUUCUAUGCACUAAUUUGGCUUUCUCAGUUCUCACUGAUUUUGUGCCCUUAUUUGGCUUCUCAGUUCUCACUGAUUAGUGAUUAGUUGUAGGAACACUAAUUUAGUCAUGGUGUUUGAUUUAGACCCUUUCCGAUUUACAAAGUGUGGCAUUGUAGCUUCAUCCCUCUUCUUAAUUACUUUAAAACUAGCAAGAUUCUGGAUUUGACCUUGUAAGCUCCAAUGCUCCAGUUAUGCUUCUCUGAAAAAACGGACAGAAUGCAGCAAAACCAUUGGGACCCUUGGCUGUAUUAUUCCAAUUCAUUAAUUGUUUCUAUACUGCAGGUACGGCAGGCACAUCUAUAAGCGAGAAUCUUAAUUGAUUUUCCUUUGUGAUGCAUUGAUCAACGCAAGAAAGCAGGAGGAUAACUCUGGAACAAUUUCCCCGUUGAUUUCAAAUAAACUCUGAACUGGUAGCUCAUGUUCUUUGCUAAACUCUGAAAUGUUUCAUGCUCUCAUAAUUUUAUCGAUGAAAAAGUAAAGUCAUUGCGUUUUGUUACAGAUCCAUGUAGCCGAUGAGUUUUACCAGUUUUAGACCUUGGUUAUGAAACUUUUCUUUUCAGACCACGAGUGCACUCAUGCCUGAUAGCCAUGAUAUGAGUAGCCAUUACAGCCUCAUAUUAGGAUCAGCUCCCUAUAAUUUAUUUUCAUUCCUAACAAUUCCAAGUGCAUGUUUAUAUAGUAUAAUAAUGCAUGUGCUUCAGUAUGUAAUUUCAAUUCCAAAUACAUGUUUAUGUAUAAUUUCAGCUUAUUUUCUCCUCAUCUGUCUACCAGGUUUUGGUGGUGCCUUUAAAAAGAGAACAUAUAGCACGUCACUGAAGAAUAUCAUCAUAAUCGGGUGCAUAGAUAAUUCAUGAAGUUCUGAAAGUCAUUCUAGGUACUGAAAUUCUUGCAAUUACAAUGUGCAUAAUUGUUGGCAAGUUGUGUUGUGGCAGUCCAGAGAUACCUAUGAAUGAUAUUGUCCCGAUUUGUUAUUUAAUACACGUGGCCAAUUAUAAUAUGUUGGGGGAUCCUUCCCUUGGUAAUGUUGCAAGGUUUAUUUGAGAUGACCAAUUGUCAACUGAGAUGAUGUCGCUACGUGUCUUCGGAUGUGAUGCUAGCUCUGAGAGAGGCCUUGUUCUUAAUGAAUUAUUGCUCUUUAUUUGCAACUUUCAUGUAAUAUAUAUUGUCAUAUGCAUAUACAACUAACAAAUAAUUUUGUUGGACGUGGCUGGGGUAGUGCAGCCCUUGCAGCCGCCGGCGGACUCGGCGCGGAGCAAGC
rnacentral:lncRNA from 1 species